rnacentral:tRNA from 1 species
GCGCGCGUAGCUCAAUUGGAUAGAGCAACGGGCUUCGAACCCGUAGGUUGCAGGUUCGAGUCCUGCCGCGCGCG